UCUCAGGCAGUGGUCUUCUGGAGGAAGAGGCACUUUCUGUUUUCUGAAAGAAAAGAAAGUGCUUUCCUUUAGAAGGUUACUCCUUGAGA
rfam:Callithrix jacchus chromosome 22, whole genome shotgun sequence